AUUGAACGCUGGCGGCAGGCCUAACACAUGCAAGUCGAGCGGAUGAAGGGAGCUUGCUCCUGGAUUCAGCGGCGGACGGGUGAGUAAUGCCUAGGAAUCUGCCUGGUAGUUGGGGAUAACGUCCGGAAACGGGCGCUAAUACCGCAUACGUCCUGAGGGAGAAAGUGGGGGGUCUUCGGACCUCACGCUAUCAGAUGAGCCUAGGUCGGAUUAGCUAGUUGGUGGGGUAAAGGCCUACCAAGGCGACGAUCCGUAACUGGUCUGAGAGGAUGAUCAGUCACACUGGAACUGAGACACGGUCCAGACUCCUACGGGAGGCAGCAGUGGGGAAUAUUGGACAAUGGGCGAAAGCCUGAUCCAGCCAUGCCGCGUGUGUGAAGAAGGUCUUCGGAUUGUAAAGCACUUUAAGUUGGGAGGAAGGGCAGUAAGUUAAUACCUUGCUGUUUUGACGUUACCAACAGAAUAAGCACCGGCUAACUUCGUG
rnacentral:rRNA from 1 species